AAGGAGCUGCGGUCACCGUUCGCCCUACCUCUGCGCCCCGGGGCGGGUGCGCCGGUAAAAAUGGCGAAAUGGGGGUAGUCGGCGUUGGACCUGAAGAGAUGGGGCGCGCAGGUGGGGCGGUUGUCAGAGCCCCCUGACGUGGGCGCCCAGCUUUUAUCGGCGAUUUGAUCUGGCGACCUCGGGCCGGCGCCUAAGAGGUCAGACUACGGAGCCUGCGGGUCGCCAACGGCCCCGCCAAGAGCCGGAGGCAAUGGAUGAACAGAGCGUGGAGAGCAUUGCUGAGGUUUUCCGAUGUUUCAUUUGUAUGGAGAAAUUGCGGGAUGCACGCCUGUGUCCUCAUUGCUCCAAGCUGUGUUGUUUCAGCUGUAUUAGGCGCUGGCUGACAGAGCAGAGAGCUCAAUGUCCUCAUUGCCGUGCUCCACUCCAGCUACGAGAACUAGUAAAUUGUCGUUGGGCAGAAGAAGUAACACAACAGCUUGAUACUCUUCAACUCUGCAGUCUCACCAAACAUGAAGAAAAUGAAAAGGACAAGUAUGUCUUCAAUUUCUUUGUUCAGUGUUGAAUGGAUUUUGCCUUUGUGUUGUUUAAUGACACUAUAUUGGUAGUUGCCUUUUAGUUAUUUAUGAAUAAGUAGUGUUAUAUUUCUUGUUUUUAAUUCUUUCAGUCAUGUGCUGUUACUGUUAAGUAACAUAUUCUUAUUGUGUUUAUUUAACAACAGUUAUUUUAUGCCAUGUAUACACACAGAUACCUCUCGCCCUCCCCUCCCACCACACAGAAAGUACUUUGCUAGAUGAUAGGCAUACAGAGGUAAAUGAGACAUGAUUUCUGUUAACUGUUCAAUGGG
rnacentral:sRNA from 1 species